GAAUAGUUUCUUUAGUAACAAUAGUUGUUAUUUAUACAGCUUUAGAUCUCUCUAGUAACUGCUCUCGCCGUUCUCUAACUAAUUCCUGGCUAACUCUACUAACUUUCCAUAAUAUUCCUUUAUUACAAUUUCAACCCCAAAGACCCUCUAUUUAUUUUCAACACUCUUAUUCUCCUUAUCAUAACAUUCUGACUGCUGAGCUAUGUUUAUUUGACUUUGACUUUUUGCCAUGAUGGAGUUGUUUGAGGAAGCAAUAUAUGCAUUCAUAGCGAAUGGAUUUUAUGACAGAUAAUUGUCCUUGUUCCAGAUGCAUUCUUCCCUGAGAAAAAUCACGUCUUUGCCAGAUGAUACAAAUAUAUAUUGCGGCCAUGAAUAUACAUUGGGUAAUUCAAAGUUUGCAUUGUCUAUAGAACCCAAUAAUAAGGCACUCCAUUCCUAUGCAGCCCAUGUGGCCCAUCUUCGCAGCAAGAAUUUGCCAACAAUUCCAACUGUGCUGAAGGUUGAGAAGGCUUGCAAUCCAUUCCUUCGCACUUCAAGUACAGAAAUUCGGCAGUCAUUAAAUAUUCCAGUAACGGCAAAUGAUGCAGAAGCCUUAGGAGUCAUCCGUCAAGCAAAGGAUAAUUUUUAAAGAUCAAAUGCGGGGUGCAUCUGUCAGUAUCAGAAGUAACCUGUUCAUGUAGUAAUCUCCACUUCUGUCCAUAUAUUUUGCAUAUUUCAAUCUCCUUUAGGUUUUAAUUGGAAUGUCGGUUCUGCAAUUCCAUUUGAUGAUGACGAAAGUUUUGACAUUGUAUGUCAAAUGAUUUGUGUAUUAUUGUAGUAGACCUUUGAAAUCAAAAUCCAUUAAUUUUUUUUUAUUUCUGCACUUUUUGCCACAUCUUGUCCUUGUAAGGCUGUAAGCUGUGAAUUUUGGUGGUUUAGAGUAUUGUCAAAGAAAGAACUAUUUUUU
rnacentral:misc_RNA from 1 species